ACGACUGUAGCUCAGCUGGUUAGAUCGUGGGUCUCAUAUAUAGGCUUGCAAGCUAUGGUGCUUGACGGCUCUAUGUGCAAUCCCAAGGCCGGCGGUUCGAGCCCGCCCAGUCGCA